rnacentral:rRNA from 1 species
CCUAAUAACGGGCGAGUGAAGCGGGAAGAGCACAAAUUUUAAAUCUACCUGGGUUUCCAGGUCGAGUUGUAAUUUGAAGAAGUGUUUUUUACUUUCCGGGUGUGGGUUAAAUCCUUGUGGAUAAGGUAUCAUGGAGGGUGAGAAUCCCGUGUAUACCAACCGCAGGAUNGUNUAAUAUACACUUUCUAAGAGUCGAGUUGUUUGGGAAUGCAGCUCUAAAUGGGUGGUAAAUUUCACCUAAUGCUAAAUAUAAGCGAGAGACCGAUAGCGAACAAGUACCGUGAGGGAAAGAUGAAAAGAACUUUGAAAAGAGAGUUAAAUAGUACGUGAAAUUGUUGAAAGGGAAACGGUUGAAGUCAGUCAUGCCGGCGGGAAUCAACUUAGGGGAAACUCUGAGUGCACUUCUUCGCCUGGCAGGUUAGCGUCGAUUUUGGAUGUCAUAAAAUGACUGGGGGAAGGUAGCUCUUUCGGGAGUGUUAAGCCCUUAGUAGAUGUGAUGUCCGGGAUCGAGGAUUGCAACGGAUACCYUUUGGGCUARCCGCCUAGUCUCUAAUACGAAGUUGGGUUAUGGACAGCACGCUGACUGUGAUCUGAUUUUCGGUUAAAAGAUUAGAGGCGAGCNUAAAUUCGUAAGGACG